GCAUCCAUGGUUGAAUGGUCAAAGCACCCACCUCAUAAUUGGCGAAUUUGUAGGUUCAAUUCCUAGUGGAUGCA
rfam:Solanum tuberosum cultivar DM 1-3 516 R44 scf00085_114, whole genome shotgun sequence.